UGGGGAAUAUUGGACAAUGGGCGCAAGCCUGAUCCAGCCAUGCCGCGUGUGUGAAGAAGGCCUUUUGGUUGUAAAGCACUUUAAGCGAGGAGGAGGCUACUUGGAUUAAUACUCUAGGAUAGUGGACGUUACUCGCAGAAUAAGCACCGGCUAACUCUGUGCCAGCAGCCGCGGUAAUACAGAGGGUGCGAGCGUUAAUCGGAUUUACUGGGCGUAAAGCGUGCGUAGGCGGCUUCUUAAGUCGGAUGUGAAAUCCCUGAGCUUAACUUAGGAAUUGCAUUUGAUACUGGGAAGCUAGAGUAUGGGAGAGGAUGGUAGAAUUCCAGGUGUAGCGGUGAAAUGCGUAGAGAUCUGGAGGAAUACCGAUGGCGAAGGCAGCCAUCUGGCCUAAUACUGACGCUGAGGUACGAAAGCAUGGGGAGCAAACAGG
rnacentral:rRNA from 1 species